AACAAAGACCUAGAGGUGACACGGUAUCAAUUGCCCACAAGCCCUCCUAUCAUCACCAAGAUACAAUAAUGGAAACUGCUUCCUUCUCUAGCCACAUGACAUAUCUUCUCUUGUCUUUUUAUGAUUUUCCUUUAACUGCAGGGCUACCCUUGCUGUUCACAUUACUCUAAUUUAACUUGAGCAAAUUUGUGGAGGAAGGAGGAAGAAGAGAAAACACACGUGUGAUAUGCCUGGAGCCUGUGUCUCCUUGCAAUUGUGAAAAAACUGAAGGAGAGUGACUUAUUCUAAGUCACACCCUUAGGAUCUGGCAGAAAGAAAAAUGAACUGAGGCUUUCUGGAUCCUUCCUACUUUCUACCUCUGGCUGCUGCCUCUCUUGGCCACUCUAGAGCAUCGUGUGAUGCUGUGGUAUGACAACAACAAAUCAAUGUUGUCUCUUUUUUUUUUUUUAAAGAAGUGGUUCUUUUUAUUUAUUUAUUUAUUUUUUUCCUUUUUCUCCCCAAAGCCCCCCGGUACAUAGUUGUAUAUUCUUAGUUGUGGAUCCUUCUAGUUGUGGCAUGUGGGACGCUGCCUCAGCGUGGUUUGAUGAGCAGUGCCAUGUCCGUGCCCAGGAUUCGAACCAACGAAACACUAGGCCGCCUGCAGCGGAGCACUCGAACUUAACCACUCGGCCACGGGGCCAGCCCCUCAAUGUUGUCUCUUGGAUGUGAAGGUGAUGGUAUGGCUCCCAUGAAAGGCGGGUGUGAAUCCAUUCAUCUCAUCGUCCCUCACGUGACAAUGGUGGACAUUUCCAAGCUGUUUGGGAUUCAUGAGUAAUGAAGCCUUGAAAUGAAGUAAAACAAACUGGUCCUUCUGGCAAUGAAGUCUUUUUUUCGUCUUAUGAUCUACUUUAGAGAUCAUUUUUUAAAAUUGAGUUCAUAAUAGCUUACAUCAUUGUGAAAUUUCAGUUGUACAUUAUUUCUUAUCUGUCACCACAUAAGUGCUCCCCUUCACCCUUGAGCCCAUUCCCCACCUCCCUUCCCCUGGUAACCAGUAAACUGUUUUCUUU
rnacentral:lncRNA from 1 species